rnacentral:rRNA from 1 species
UACGUAGGAGGCAAGCGUUGUCCGGAAUCAUUGGGCGUAAAGCGCGCGUAGGUGGCCUCAUAAGUCCGCUGUGAAAGUCAAAGGCUCAACCUUUGAAAGCCGGUGGAUACUGUGAGGCUAGAGUACGGAAGAGGCGAGUGGAAUUCCUGGUGUAGCGGUGGAAUGCGCAGAUAUCAGGAGGAACACCAAUAGCGAAGGCAGCUCGCUGGGACGUUACUGACACUGAGGCGCGAAAGCGUGGGGAGCGAACAGG